UCCGGCUUGUCACCGGCAGUCUCCUUAGAGUGCCCUUGCGUAGCAACUAAGAAUAAGGGUUGCGCUCGUUGCGGGACUUAACCCAACAUCUCACGACACGAGCUGACGACAGCCAUGCAGCACCUGUGUAUCGGCUCCCUUUCAGGCACUUUCGCCUCUCAGCAAAAUUCCGACCAUGUCAAGGGUAGGUAAGGUUCUUCGCGUAGCAUCGAAUUAAUCCACAUCAUCCACCGCUUGUGCGGGUCCCCGUCAAUUCCUUUGAGUUUUAAUCUUGCGACCGUACUCCCCAGGCGGUCAACUUCACGCGUUAGCUUCGUUACUAAGGAUCGCAAUCCCCAACAACUAGUUGACAUCGUUUAGGGCGUGGACUAC
rnacentral:misc_RNA from 1 species